CAUGAUGAUACGCCAGCUGGCACCAGUCAUAGAGUGAUUUGUACUCCUUCUUUGAUGAAAAACGCU
rnacentral:snoRNA from 1 species